CAAAUCUGAGAUUUGCAGAUCAACUAACUGCAUACACAAAAUCUCUGCACCUUCUAUACUCCGCAGAAAAUUUCCACCCUCUCUCUCUAAACUGCCAUCUUCUCUUUCCCAAUUGGGCCAAUUCCAUUACCAGCUUUUCAAUUCCCCCCACUUGACUACGUGAAUCUCACGUGUGACCCUUUUCAGAGGAUAAUGUUACCACCAUAAAUUCACGGAGUUUGGUAAAACUUUCAAUUUGGUCCCUCAAAUUGU
rnacentral:lncRNA from 1 species